CUAAUUGAGCCUCACAAAGAGUCUUCUCUAC
rnacentral:piRNA from 1 species